rnacentral:rRNA from 1 species
GGCGGCGUGCUUAACACAUGCAAGUCGAACGACUCUUUUAUGGAAUGCGAUUUCGGUCAAAUGAAAUUAAAGCUUAGUGGCGGACGGGUGAGUAACGCGUGGGUAACCUGCCUUACACAGGGGGACAACAGUUGGAAACGACUGCUAAUACCGCAUAAAAUGGCAGCACUGCAUGGUGCAACCAUCAAAGAAAUUCGGUGUAAGAUGGACCCGCGUCUGAUUAGCUUGUUGGUGGGGUAACGGCCUACCAAGGCGACGAUCAGUAGCCGACCUGAGAGGGUGACCGGCCACAUUGGGACUGAGACACGGCCCAAACUCCUACGGGAGGCAGCAGUGGGGAAUAUUGCACAAUGGGCGCAAGCCUGAUGCAGCGACGCCGCGUGAGCGAAGAAGUAUUUCGGUAUGUAAAGCUCUAUCAGCAGGGAAGAAAAUGACGGUACCUGACUAAAAAAGCCCGGCUAACUACGUGCCAGCAGCCGCGGGAAAUACGUAGGGGGCAAGCGGUUAUCCGGAUUUACUGGGGGGAAAAGGGAAGCGUAAACGGGCUGGCAAGUCUGAAAGUGAAAACCCCGGGGCUCCACCCCCGGAACUGCUUUGGAAACUUCCUUGCUGGAGUACAGGAGGGGUUAGCGGAAUUCCUAAGGUUAGCGGUGAAAUUGCUUAGAUAUUAGGAGGGACCCCGGUGGGGAAGGCGGCUUACUGGAACUGUAACUGACUUUGAGGCUCGAAAGCGUGGGGAGCAAACAGGAUUAGAUACCCGGGUAGUCCACGCCGUAAACGAUGAAUACUAGGUGUCGGGGCACAAAAGUGCUUCGGUGUCGGCGCAAACGCAUUAAGUAUUCCACCUGGGGAGUACGUUCGCAAGAAUGAAACUCAAAGGAAUUGACGGGGACCCGCACAAGCGGUGGAGCAUGUGGUUUAAUUUGAAGCAACGCGAAGAACCUUACCAAGUCUUGACAUCCCGGUGACCGGUCAGUAAUGUGACCUUUUCUUCGGAACACCGGAGACAGGUGGUGCAUGGUUGUCGUCAGCUCGUGUCGUGAGAUGUUGGGUUAAGUCCCGUAACGAGCGCAACCCCUGUCCUUAGUAGCCAGCAGUAAGAUGGGCACUCUAGGGAGACCGCCGGGGAUAACCCGGAGGAAGGUGGGGAUGACGUCAAAUCAUCAUGCCCCUUAUGAUUUGGGCUACACACGUGCUACAAUGGCGUAAACAAAGGGAAGCAGAGUCGCGAGGCCGAGCAAAUCCCAAAAAUAACGUCCCAGUUCGGAUUGUAGUCUGCAACUCGACUACAUGAAGCUGGAAUCGCUAGUGAUCCCAAAGCAGAAUGUCGCGGUGAAUACGUUCCCGGG